UAAAACUUAUAAAAGUUUAAUUACUACAACAAUGAUCUGAAUUAUUAUGGUAACAGUAGAUAUGCAGAAGAAGUAAGGAGUGUACGUGAUUAAUAGAAAUGCAGCAGUGCAUGCCAGGAAGCAGCUCAGUUGGGGCAGUGCUUGUCUAGCAAAGAUGAAGCCCAAAGGCCUGAGACCUAGCCCCGUGUAAAACUGGAGGUGGUGGCACGUUUCUGUCAUGCCAGCAUGUGGGAAGUGGAGGUAGAAAGAUCAGAAGUUCAAGAUCAUAUUAGUUUACAGAGGGAGUCAAGGGCCAGCUUGGGUUACAUGUGACCCUGUCUCAAAAAAAAAAAACAAAAAAACAAAAAAAACAAAAAAGACAAAAAAACAAAAAAACAAAAAAACCAAAUAACAAAGAUCAAAGACAGUUCAAGUUAAGAAUGGAAGUUCUAGAAACUUUGGGUGAGAUGAUGAUGAGAAGCUGCCUCAGGGCAAUUUAACAGAAGAGAUAGGCAAGGUAACAGAGAAUAGACCCUGCCCCAAGGAGAGAGCGAUCAGAACAUCAGAAAUCACAAAGCAAGAAGUAGCUUGCUCCAGGGAAUUUUAUUCAGCUAUAGAGAGUGAAAUUCUAACAUCUGCAAGGAAGUGGACAGACCUGGAGAUCAUUACAUUAAGUGAAAGAAGCCAGAUUACUGAAAGAUAUCAAGUGGGUUUUUUUUUUAAAUAUGUGGAAUAUAGAUAGAUGGAUAGGUGGGUGGGUGGAUUGAUGGAUGGAUGGAUAGAUAGAUAGAUAGAUAGAUAGAUAGAGUAUAGAAAGGGGACCAUGGAGGGAAGAAGUUUAAAGAGAGUGGGGAGUUGGGGAGUGAGAAAUUGUAAUAAAAUAUACACGUCAUAAAAGCUAACAGAUUACUGGGUGAAGG
rnacentral:lncRNA from 1 species